GGUUAAGCGACUAAGCGUACACGGUGGAUGCCCUGGCAGUCAGAGGCGAUGAAGGACGUGCUAAUCUGCGAAAAGCGUCGGUAAGGUGAUAUGAACCGUUAUAGCCGGCGAUGUCCGAAUGGGGAAACCCAGUGCAAUUCGUUGCACUAUCGUUAACUGAAUACAUAGGUUAACGAGGCGAACCGGGGGAACUGAAACAUCUAAGUACCCCGAGGAAAAGAAAUCAACCGAGAUUCCCCCAGUAGCGGCGAGCGAACGGGGAGCAGCCCAGAGUCUGAAUCAGCUUGUGUGUUAGUGGAACGGUCUGGAAAGUCCGACGGUACAGGGUGAUAGUCCCGUACACCAAAAUGCACAGGUUGUGAACUCGAAGAGUAGGGCGGGACACGUGGUAUCCUGUCUGAAUAUGGGGGGACCAUCCUCCAAGGCUAAAUACUCCUGACUGACCGAUAGUGAACCAGUACCGUGAGGGAAAGGCGAAAAGAACCCCGGCGAGGGGAGUGAAAAAGAACCUGAAACCGUGUACGUACAAGCAGUGGGAGCACCUUCGGGUGUGACUGCG
rnacentral:rRNA from 1 species